rnacentral:lncRNA from 1 species
CAAUAUCAUGACUUAGAAGAUGAAGAUCUUUAUCGCCAUGCUAGAAGGAAAACAAAUAUAGGUUGUCAGUCCUAUAUUACUACUCCUCUGUAACACUAUAUAGCCACUGCAUCCUAACCUCACCUUAAUGGACAUGAGAAGUUACACCUCCCACUUAUAGAAAGAACAUGGGCUACCGGAGUUUUUACCUAUAAAUCAUUUUCAGAAAGAACAGCGUGCUCUAAUUUAUCCUUAUUAUUUUUAAUCACGUUGUAAGUUUUAUAUCUUUCGUGAUUUCACUAAAAUAAAUAUAAAAAAAAUAUAGAAAAAUG